rnacentral:rRNA from 1 species
GACGAACGCUGGCGGCGUGCUUAACACAUGCAAGUCGAACGGAAAGGCCCUGCUUUUGUGGGGUGCUCGAGUGGCGAACGGGUGAGUAACACGUGAGUAACCUGCCCUUGACUUUGGGAUAACUUCAGGAAACUGGGGCUAAUACCCGAUAGGAGCUCCUGCUGCAUGGUGGGGGUUGGAAAGUUUCGGCGGUUGGGUAUGGACUCGCGGCUUAUCAGCUUGUUGGUGGGGUAGUGGCUUACCAAGGCUUUGACGGGUAGCCGGCCUGAGAGGGUGACCGGCCACAUGGGGACUGGGAAGCGGGCCAGACGGAUACGGGGGGAAGGAGUGAGGAAUAUUGCAAAAAGGGCGGAGGCCGGAAGCAGGAACGCCGGGUGGGGGAGGACGGCCGUCGGGUUGGAAACCGUUUGCGCCUGUGACGAAGCGUGAGUGAGGUAAAUGGGGAAAGAAGCACCGGCUAACUACGU